AUGCUCAGUAUCUUUUUGGCCAUACUAAAUGCAGUUCUCGACGGUGAACAUGUACAAGUAGUAGAAGUAGCAACUGGAAUGCUAAAUUCAGUUAUCAGUGACUCGGCAUCCAGUUGCGUGAUCACCUCAGUUUUGUUUUAUUAUUUAGCAGUGUUCAGAGUUUCGUUAUUUAUAUUCUAUAUUUUCGGAAGCUAUUUGUCUAGGUUCAGUCCUGCUAUCAUCUUUGUCAGUCAUCAAUUUAUCAAUUCAUCAUUUACUUUUGCAUAUUUACAGUUUUCAGGUUCUCAUUAUAUCAGUCAAAUCACUCCCUCUUAUUUCUUCAUUUUCUCAUUUUGUUAUUCAGUCUCCAAAAUGAACAUGAGCCUGAACUUGAGAGACAGGCAAUUGAUUUAUUCAUUUAGUUGCAAUGUCCAAAAUGAAGAACUCCUGGUCAUCUUCAGUUUACUUCUCCCAUUUUGUUGUGUCUUUAGUAUUCAGUCCAAAGCUAAUCAUUCGUUUGUUCUUCAGUCCUUAUGUUUGCAUCACUCUUUAAGUGAUUCAUUUUUCAGUCUUGUCAUUCAUUCAUCUACCCUUUAG
rnacentral:rRNA from 1 species